CGGAUUUUAAAUGUGGCAAGUAAGUACAGACACGUGUUUAUCGGUGGGUGUCUGUGUGCGCUAAGGCUGUUGGUUGUAGGCUCUACAGUCUACCAUGAAGCUUGAAGCUUUCAGCGCUUGCAACAAUGGCGACGACUAGUGCUUCUCUCCUCCAUCUUCUUUCCCCAUCUUUCUUUCCUGUCUCUCUUCCAAAAACAGUCAUUCCUUUCCCUCUCCUCCGUCUCAACAAAACCUAUAUUCUCAUUCUUUCUACCAUUGCACUUUUCCCACCGUUUCUCCGCGCCAAAUUCCUCCUCACCGUCUGAUGAGUAUGUAUGGCAAAUGGGGUUUCAAUUUUCUGACUGUAAGGUCCGAAUCCAAACCCAGCAUCAACAGAGAGCCUAUGCUGCCUCCGUACAAUUUACAGGUUCAACCAAAGUUUUGCAGCUUGAAGAUCUUAGGCUGGACAUUCACAAGGAAGGGAAAUGUCUUAUUCAUGCGGUUCAAAAGCUGGUAUCUGGAGAUCAAUGUGAAGGGAGAUUUGUAUUUUGCAGGGAUAACAAGAAGCCAAAGGAGUCUGGUAAUGAUGACUGAUUCACAAGAGAUGGAAUGAAUCCCAAGAGCUUGCUUCAAACUCUGAUGAUGAGGGCAGGGCACUCUCCUCCAAAAUACAAAACCAAAAACCUCAAGACAAAUGAGUUUAGAGCGCUGGUAGAGUUCAAGGGUAUGCAAUUUGUUGGAAAACCUAGUAAAAACAAGCAGGUUGCUGAAAGGGAUGCUGCUGUAGAGGCAUUGGCAUGGUUAACUCAUACUACUGACAACGGCCGAGAUGAAGAUGACAAAUCCCCACCUGAUGUGACUGACAACAUGCUUAAACUUCUUGGGAAACAUAGAAGUAUUGCACAAUAAUCAGGUUGUUGCCGUGAAGAAGUUUCAUGCAAAUAAAGAUGGCUGAAUUUCUGAAUAUCUCAAAGCUUUUACGAGCGAGGGUCAGGUUGUUGCCGUGAAGAAGUUUCAUGCAAAUAAAGAUGGCUGAAUUUCUGAAUACCUCAAAGCUUUUACGAGCGAGAUUCGUGCAUUAACACACAUAUAAGACAUUGAAAUAUUGUGAAGCUACAUGAGUUCUGUAUACAUCCACAUCAUUCACAUUUGGUUUGUGAACUCUUGGAAGGAGGAAGUCUAUGAAAUUUACUAAGCAGUCAGGGAAAAGGAAGAGAUUUUGACUGGACUAAAAAGGGUGAAAGUUGUGAACUUUUGGACUUUUUGUUUGCAGGAACAUUUGGGCAACACUGAAGUGGCUCCAGUUUAGUUUUAUCUUGGUCAUUAAUUUUUUUAAGGGUUAUAUAUAAUCCCAUUUAAUUUCCUCUAGUAUAAGAGCUUUGCACUCUUGUUUAUCAAAUUUAAAAUAUAUAUUUAUGAGUACCCUCGAUUAUUUCUUGAUAUAUAAGAAAAUGUACAUGCUCUUCAUAACUUCCA